rnacentral:rRNA from 1 species
AACGGCGAGUGAAGCGGCAACAGCUCAAAUUUGAAAUCUGGCCCUCGGGUCCGAGUUGUAAUUUGUAGAGGAUGUUUUUGGUGCGGUGCCUUCCGAGUUCCCUGGAACGGGACGCCAUAGAGGGUGAGAGCCCCGUCUGGUUGGAUGCCAAUCCUUUGUAAAACUCCUUCGACGAGUCGAGUAGUUUGGGAAUGCUGCUCUAAAUGGGAGGUAUAUGUCUUCUAAAGCUAAAUAUUGGCCAGAGACCGAUAGCGCACAAGUAGAGUGAUCGAAAGAUGAAAAGCACUUUGAAAAGAGAGUUAAAAAGCACGUGAAAUUGUUGAAAGGGAAGCGCUUAUGACCAGACUUGGGCUUGGUUGAUCAUCCGACGUUCUCGUCGGUGCACUCUUCCGGUUCAGGCCAGCAUCAGUUUGCUUCGGGGGAUAAAGGCUUUGGGAAUGUGGCUCCCUCGGGAGUGUUAUAGCCCAUUGUGUAAUACCCUGGAGCGGACUGAGGUACGCGUUCUGCAAGGAUGCUGGCGUAAUGGUCAUCAGUGACCCGUCUUGAAACACGGACCAAGGAGUCGUCUUCGUAUGCGAGUGUUCGGGUGUUAAACCCCUACGCGUAAUGAAAGUGAACGCAGGUGAGAGCUUCGGCGCAUCAUCGACCGAUCCUGAUGUUCUCGGAUGGAUUUGAGUAAGAGCAUACGGGGCCGGACCCGAAAGAAGGUGAACUAUGCCUGUGUAGGGUGAAGCCAGAGGAAACUCUGGUGGAGGCUCGCAGCGGUUCUGACGUGCAAAUCGAUCGUCAAACAUGGGCAUGGGGGCGAAAGACUAAUCGAACCUUCU